CACCUUGCGACGGCAUCUAUCUGUUCAAUGCCACCUCGAAACGCUCCUACGUCUACCCAGUGCCGCCACUCCCCGCUAGCUGAUUGAACAGACUAUUCACCAACCUCAACUGCUCAGAUAGCUCUAUUUUUCUACAGUUGUGGAGAUUGAUGAUCGAGCCAGUGACCAGUUGUGGAGAUGGCCAUUCCCUGUGGUGUUCCAUAGUUGUGUAUAUUGUGUUGUGAGCCAUGUGUUAGUGGCUGUUUUUUUUGUAUUCCAGUGUUGUAGAGAUGCUGUUGGUGUUGAUUCUGUAGAUUGUAAACUAGGGGCUUUGUGUGGAAACACUUGUUAUAGUCUUGGAUGACUAUAAGGAUGUAUUAAUUCAGUAUUUGAGAAUGCAUAAAUUUGUGGCCUUGAAACAA